GAUGAACGCUAGCGGCAGGCUUAAUACAUGCAAGUCGAACGGCAAGUUGAGUAGCAAUACUUGACCUAGAGUGACGUACGGGUGCGUAACACGUAUGCAACCUACCCAUAACAGGAGGAUAGCUCCCCGAAAGGGGAAUUAACCCUCCAUAGUAUAAUUGACUGGCAUCAGUUGAUUAUUAAAACUCCGGUGGUUAUGGAUGGGCAUGCGUCUGAUUAGUUAGUUGGCGGUGUAACGGACCACCAAGACGAUGAUCAGUAGGGGAACUGAGAGGUUGAUCCCCCACACUGGCACUGAGAUACGGGCCAGACUCCUACGGGAGGCAGCAGUAGGGAAUAUUGGUCAAUGGAUGCAAGUCUGAACCAGCCAUGCCGCGUGCAGGAAGAAGGCCCUAUGGGUUGUAAACUGCUUUUGCCAGGGGAUAAAAUUUCCUUGCGAGGAAAAUUGAAGGUACCUGGUGAAUAAGCCACGGCUAACUACGUGCCAGCAGCCGCGGUAAUACGUAGGUGGCAAGCGUUGUCCGGAUUUAUUGGGUUUAAAGGGUGCGUAGGCGGUCCUAUAAGUCAGUGCUGAAAUAUCCCGGCUUAACCGGGAGGGUGGCAUUGAUACUGUAGGACUUGAGUAAAGUUGAGGUUGGCGGA
rnacentral:rRNA from 1 species